GACGAACGCUGGCGGCGUGCUUAACACAUGCAAGUCGAACGGAAAGGCCCUGCUUUUGUGGGGUGCUCGAGUGGCGAACGGGUGAGUAACACGUGAGUAACCUGCCCUUGACUUUGGGAUAACUUCAGGAAACUGGGGCUAAUACCGGAUAGGAGCUCCUGCUGCAUGGUGGGGGUUGGAAAGUUUCGGCGGUUGGGGAUGGACUCGCGGCUGAUCAGCUUGUUGGUGGGGUAGUGGCUUACCAAGGCUUUGACGGGUAGCCGGCCUGAGAGGGUGACCGGCCACAUUGGGACUGAGAUACGGCCCAGAGUCCUACGGGAGGCAGCAGUGGGGAAUAUUGCACAAUGGGCGGAAGCCUGAUGCAGCAACGCCGCGUGCGGGAUGACGGCCUUCGGGUUGUAAACCGCUUUCGCCUGUGACGAAGCGUGAGUGACGGUAAUGGGUAAAGAAGCACCGGCUAACUACGUG
rnacentral:rRNA from 1 species